rnacentral:rRNA from 1 species
GGGUUGUGAGGUUAAGCGACUAAGCGUACACGGUGGAUGCCCUGGCAGUCAGAGGCGAUGAAGGACGUGCUAAUCUGCGAUAAGCGUCGGUAAGGUGAUAUGAACCGUUAUAACCGGCGAUUUCCGAAUGGGGAAACCCAGUGUGAUUCGUCACACUAUCAUUAACUGAAUCCAUAGGUUAAUGAGGCGAACCGGGGGAACUGAAACAUCUAAGUACCCCGAGGAAAAGAAAUCAACCGAGAUUCCCCCAGUAGCGGCGAGCGAACGGGGAGCAGCCCAGAGCCUGAAUCAGUGUGUGUGUUAGUGGAAGCGUCUGGAAAGGCGUGCGAUACAGGGUGACAGCCCCGUACACAAAAAUGCACAUACUGUGAGCUCGAUGAGUAGGGCGGGACACGUGGUAUCCUGUCUGAAUAUGGGGGGACCAUCCUCCAAGGCUAAAUACUCCUGACUGACCGAUAGUGAACCAGUACCGUGAGGGAAAGGCGAAAAGAACCCCGGCGAGGGGAGUGAAAAAGAACCUGAAACCGUGUACGUACAAGCAGUGGGAGCACAGAGCAAUCUGUGUGACUGCGUACCUUUUGUAUAAUGGGUCAGCGACUUAUAUUCUGUAGCAAGGUUAACCGAAUAGGGGAGCCGAAGGGAAACCGAGUCUUAACUGGGCGUUAAGUUGCAGGGUAUAGACCCGAAACCCGGUGAUCUAGCCAUGGGCAGGUUGAAGGUUGGGUAACACUAACUGGAGGACCGAACCGACUAAUGUUGAAAAAUUAGCGGAUGACUUGUGGCUGGGGGUGAAAGGCCAAUCAAACCGGGAGAUAGCUGGUUCUCCCCGAAAGCUAUUUAGGUAGCGCCUCGUGAAUUCAUCUCCGGGGGUAGAGCACUGUUUCGGCAAGGGGGUCAUCCCGACUUACCAACCCGAUGCAAACUGCGAAUACCGGAGAAUGUUAUCACGGGAGACACACGGCGGGUGCUAACGUCCGUCGUGAAGAGGGAAACAACCCAGACCGCCAGCUAAGGUCCCAAAGUCAUGGUUAAGUGGGAAACGAUGUGGGAAGGCCCAGACAGCCAGGAUGUUGGCUUAGAAGCAGCCAUCAUUUAAAGAAAGCGUAAUAGCUCACUGGUCGAGUCGGCCUGCGCGGAAGAUGUAACGGGGCUAAACCAUGCAC